UACAGAGGUCUCAAGCGUUGUUCGGAUUCAUUGGGCGUAAAGGGUGCGUAGGCGGCGCGGUAAGUCGGGUGUGAAAUCUCGGGGCUUAACUCCGAAAACUGCAUUCGAUACUGCCGUGCUUUGAGGACUGGAGAGGAGACUGGAAUUUACGGUGUAGCGGUGAAAUGCGUAGAUAUCGUAAGGAAGACCAGUGGCGAAGGCGGGUCUCUGGACAGUUCCUGACGCUGAGGCACGAAGGUCAGGGGAGCAAACGGG
rnacentral:rRNA from 1 species